rfam:Babesia microti strain RI apicoplast complete genome
ACUAAUAUAGUUUAUAAGUAAAAUAACUGAUUUGUAAUCAGUAGAAUAUGAGUUCGACUCUCAUUAUUAGUU